UACGUAGGGGGCGAGCGUUGUCCGGAUUUAUUGGGCGUAAAGAGCUCGUAGGCGGUUGGGUAAGUCGGGUGUGAAAACUCAGGGCUCAACUCUGAGACGCCACUCGAUACUGCCCUGACUCGAGUCCGGUAGGGGAGCGUGGAAUUCCCGGUGUAGCGGUGAAAUGCGCAGAUAUCAGGAGGAACACCGGUGGCGAAGGCGGCACUCUGGGCCGGUACUGACGCUGAGGAGCGAAAGCGUGGGGAGCGAACAGG
rnacentral:rRNA from 1 species